rnacentral:lncRNA from 10 species
CCUUCUGGGUGUGUGGCGUGGUCUCGGUCUGACAAUCUCUAGAACAACCCUACGAGGUGGUAAUUAUUAUUCUCAUGCUGCAAGGGAUAUCUCCCACCUCCUAGGUGGACUCAGGUCUUGUGGGGCUUAAUGCUUUUAAAUUUGGGCUGCCUUUUGAAGGGAAAAGACUACAAAAUUAUGAAUACAAAAUGAGGUUAAGGUCUUGGGAGGGGCCCAUGCAAGCUGGGGGCUCUGCAGGUAAGCUUGUUUAGCUUCCCAGCAAAUCCACCUCUGAGCUUGCAAAUUACAAAGCUGGAAUUUGAACUCACAUCUGCUGGAUGCAAAGUCCGAGGUCUUCCUGUAGCAUGACCGUCUUCCUGUGUGAUGAGAAACAUCAGGCUGCCGAGGCCAAACAGUGGGUGCGUCACUUUCCAAUGAGGCAGGUGUGCGGGACAGGAAGUGGGAGGUUCUCCUUGCAGGGGAGCGGCUGCUGCCAACAUCCCAGCUGGUACCUGUCCCUGAGAAUGGUUUGGCAGGUGGGGGCCACUUGAAGUCUCUGCUCCUACACCCCGUCACCCCUCCCAGGCUGCUUUCAGAGGAGGGCAAAGGGUAUUCAUUCCAGCCUCCAAUUUCUUCCUCCCACUCCUCGAAAGCAUUUAAGUGAGGAAGGCAGGGAAAACGUAGAUGAUUCUGCUAUUGACAGGAGGCCUUUUUUUCCUGCUGGAAGUAAAAGGAGACACUCUAGCUGGGCAGCCAGCCCCACCCUCCAGGGCUCCAUCUGGCCUGGCUGAGGCUGGCCAGCCCCUGCUGUGCAUGGAGGGGUGCUGGGAAGCCUACCUUGCUUCACACUUUCCUCUUCCACACCCGGCCUGUGACUCAUGCCUGAAACGCCUCCGUUCAAGCAAUUCUUCCUUUUAUUGUGAAGCACUGCUCUCUUCCGGCUCCUCCCCUAAGUCACCACGCAGGGGAGAUUUAAGGGAGAGGUUAUUUCCCCACCGUGUUCAGGGACAACCCUGUGAUCAUGGUUUUGGUCACAUAGCUUCCAAGUGAGUGUUGUGCAAACAUUUGCUAGGAUCUCUCGGGGAGCCUGUUAGAAAAGAAACUCCUGAGCCUGCUCCAGAGCUUCUGUUCAGCAGGCCUGAGGUGGGACCAUACACCUGUCUUUUCAGCAAGCCCCCCCCCACCUCUGAGGAUGCACCCCAAAGCUAGAGAAUUCCUGCUCUGAGCCAUCUCUGAAAGCACCAAGAGCCAGUUAGGUCAGGAAGAUUCCUGCAGCUGCUGAGUUAGUACUUUUAAGAAAGUACUGGAUUCCCUCUCACAAUGGGACUUUGAUUUUUUUAAGAAAAAGGUUUCAUAAGUUUUCAAAUAACCUGGAGCAGUUGAGCAAACUUAAUGUGCAGCGUGGUCCCUGCUGGCUGGGUUUGAGGGGCUGGGUCUCUCUGAGUGGAUGCUGGUGAGGUGCAGAGGAAGAAGAAAAGGUGCCUGAGGGCCUGUGUGGAAGGCCUGUCACACAGCACAUCCUGGGAAAUCUGUCCAGGAAGCAGCCAGGCGGGCAUCAGCCAGGCGGGCAUCAGCAUCUUCACUGUGCAGAUGAGAAACUGAGGCCGCAGAGGUGAAGGGACAUGCCCAGGAUCACUAAGGUGAUCCCUAGAAACACAGCCAGUGGCCCGGAAGCUGCACUGUUUUGUGCACCGCAGGGAUGGGCACAGAUGGGGCUGCCUGCCCUCCUCCUGGAAGGAGGGAGAACCCAGUCUGGCCUGGAGUGGUCAAGAGCUAACUCUAGACUCAGCAAGACCUACUUCUCUCUCCUGCCCCUACUUCCUUGCUGCUGACCUGGGCAAGUCGCUGAAGCCUCUCCGUGCCUCAGUCUGCUCGUGCGUAAGAUGGGCACAGGGCACACUGCCUACUUGAUUGGGCUCAACCACGUGCAGUAAGUAGCUGGUGUCUGGCAAGAGCCCUCAGGAAACAGUAACCCCAUUAAUUCAAAUGCACGUGCCUGGAACAGGCUCUGGGGGGCCAGCCCGGGAGUCCCACUCCAUGAUGGCCACCCUGGGGCCUGGCAGGCUGGGCUGGCAUCCCAGGCCCACCGGAUACUGGCUGUGCACCCCGGCCAGGCCACACAUCUCUGAGCCUCACUUUCCCGUGUGUGAGAUGAGGCUAGAAGCUGCUUUCUCUUGCGUGUGUGGGGAUUGGCGGUGACAACACGGCCAGGAGCCCAGGCCCAGCCUACGCGAGCAGCCUCGCUCCAGGCCACACGCCCCACUCCUGACAGCUCUGUGCAGCGAGUUCGUGCGCGAGCGGGUGGCUGUCUGCCAGGCGAGGGGCGCGGGUGCCCAAGAGGGCUUCACUGCUUCUGGAAAGAUCACAAGGAAAAACCACCUCCGCGGCGGGACGCUACCCGCGGGCCGCUGCGGUCCCGCUCGCGGCCGGCAGGGGGCAGGAUGUCCCCGCGAGUCGCCCGUGUCUUCGGGUGUCCUCAGGUCACCCCGCACCGCUCGCAGCCUCCGCGCCUAGUUAAAGGGCGACGCACUCAUUUCUGCAAAGAAGGAGCCCAGCGGCCCCUCCCCGGGGAACUCUUUCCAUCAACUCGGGGCCUAAUAAUUUACAUUUAAUUUGUUAGCGGUUUAAUGUUUAAUUUUAAAAGCGAGAUGAUUCAUUACCAUAUUAAUAAAUAAUAACAUUUAUUAUUCUCCUAAUGAGUGUCCAAAAUACAGAAGCAAUUACAUGUUUUAUAUAUUUUCUCGUAAUUUGAGACACCAGAGCGUUAAUUACAGAGACUCACGCGUGGACCCCAUUCUGAUCCAGGGUCCUGAUCCUGCCUUUGUUUCGGUCUCUGAACCAGCCGCCCUCCGGGGCUUCUGCAAUUCCCUCAAUUAGAGGAGAGGAAGUCGUACGUGACGAAGCUGGGGCUCUCACAGAACCCCGGCGCCCCAGACCCAGGAGCUGCAAGACCUCAGCUCCCCGUGCCCACACUCGGAGACCCAGGCCCCUCCCAGUCCCCCGUCUCCUCUGUGCAGGGUUCUUCAGGAAGAAUCGGAAAGAGGCCCCCCGACCCACAACCAGCCUCGCAUUCCCUCCUCCCGCAGGGAUCCAUUGAGCUGGGGGGUGGGACUAUCCUCACUUCACAGAUGGGGAAACUGAGUCCUGGAGAGAGACGCUCCGGUGUCCUCAGCUGGUGAGGGGCAGAUCCGGGAGCCACGUCCCACGCAGUCGGUUGGCCCCAAGCUUGGUUCCUGCCUCAACCCCAGCGCAGGUUGCAGCAGGCCCGCGUAGGAGGGCGGCCUGGGUCUGGACAGAUCCACAGCCGGCCAACGCCCCUGGCUAGCUCUCUAUGGCUUUGCUUCUUCUCUUGACUUGCCAAGUUCUUCUUGUUCAUUGUAGAAAAUGUGGAAGGUGAGGCCGGGAGCGGUGGCUCACGCCUGUAAUCCUAGCACUUUGGGAGGCCGAGGCGGGCAGAUUGCCUGAGCUCAGGAGUUCGAGACCAGCCUGGGCAACAUGGUGAAACACGUCUCUACUAAAAAAAAAAAAAAAAAAAAAAAAAAAAUUUGCUGGGCGUGACGGCAGGCGCCUGUAGUCCCAGUGGGAGUUUGGGGAGGCUGAGGCAGGAGAAUCACUUGAACCCGGGAAGCAGAGAUUGCAGUGAGCCGAGAUCGUGCCACUGCACUCCAAUCUAGCGACAGAGCAAGACUCCGUCUCAAAAAAAAAAAAAAAAAAAAAAGUGGAAGGUGAAAAAAACACGGAGAGACAGCAAAGCUGGCAAUGACAUAGCUCCAAAAAUCCCACUUCUCAGAUAAGAUGCAGGCAGUAAGGGCCUGGAGUUUUAUGUAUCCUGAUGUUUGAAAGGGCUUGGACAGGGCACUUCCUCCCUCCAUAGCUCUUCUGUCCUUAGGAAUCCCUCCCUUCUGGAGGGGAAGGGUGGGGGUUUUCCUGUUUGGUCCCCAGGGAAGGAAGUUCAGAGACAGAGGCCCACUCAGGGCCACCCCCUGGCCUGCACCCCUGAAAUGCAAUUUGGAUAAUAUGGAAAAUUACUAGGAAGAAAAAACGCUAUAAUCCCCCCACCUAGAGAUAACCAGGCGUUCUGGUAUAUACCUAUUGAGGACUUUUUUCCCAAGCAAAUACUCAGAAAGAGACUUCCUCCCAAUAGGCAUGAGAUCUUACUCCACGUGCAGUUUGUCUUAUCUUGAUUUUUUUCCAGUAAUCUUUUAAGAGUUUCCCAUGCCAUGUAGUCAUUCUUCAAAAACCCACUUUGAACAGCUGCGUAAUAUUCCGCUGUGGAGGAGUGCCCUGCAGUGUAGAGAAAUGAGUUAUUUACGCUGAAGUCUGUUAUUACAUGGACAUCUUCCCUUUUCUGACCCUGCAAUGACCACACUCAUAGGUGAGUCUCUCUGGAAAUCCUUGACUACCUCCUUAGGGUCCAUUCUUAGAAGUGGAAUUACUGGGUUAGAGGGCAUGAGUGCCUUGAGGGCGGCUGUCUCCCUCUACCUGCAUGCCUGCCAGGGCAAACCCGUGCAUGCUCCCAGGACAGGCCUGGCAGGGCGUGUCUCCCUGCUGCACCCUUGGUACCCUUGGCAGGGCUAACAUUAUCCUCUAAACCAGGUCUUUGCAGCACUUACCCUUUUCAAGGUGCUACUGUACCUCUCCUUUAAGGAG